rnacentral:snRNA from 1 species
AUUCAUACCUGGCAGGGGAGAUACCAUGAUCAUAAAAGUGGUUUUCCCAGGGUAAGGCUCAUCCAUUGCGCUUUGCAUGUGCUGAUCCCUGUGAUUUCCCCAAAUGUGGGAAAAUCAACUGCCUAAUUUGUGGUAGUGGGGGACUGCAUUUAUGGUUUCCCCUG